CAACCCUUAAGCCCUGUUGCUUAGCGUUGGGAGCCCGCCGGCCCCGUGCCGGCAGCUCCUCAAAGUUAGUGGCGGAGUUAGCGUAUACUCUAGGCGUAGUAACCUACAUCUCGCCUCUGUGGUUGCGCUGGCGCCUGCCGUAAAACCCCCAACUUUAAACUGG
rnacentral:misc_RNA from 1 species